rnacentral:lncRNA from 1 species
CAAAUCUAAAAACCAAAAAUAUCUGGUUUUCCUCAGCUGGCUAUUAAGAAAAAUCAGGAUCGCUUGGCUACAGUUUGUGAAUUUGUUGCUAUUUCAUAAAUUCUGUCACUGUGGAGAGAUGCAACGUGUCUGUCAAUGUUCUUCCAUUGCAAGUUCACAGGCUAAGUGUGUAUUUUGAACAUUCAGCUGUACCAUCUUCAUCUGUACUGUCACCUCCACCCCAGGGUCAAUCCUUCACUCCACUGUCCUGACAUGGGCCAUGAAGGUGGAGACAUGAGGAUCAGAGGCGAGAGAUGCCAGGACUGCAUACCUGAAGGUCUGAAUUCAAGUUUCUGCUCUGUUCCUUGCAGCUGUGUGACCCUGCAUUUGUCUGAGCCA